UACGUAGGGUCCGAGCGUUGUCCGGAAUUAUUGGGCGUAAAGGGCUCGUAGGCGGUCUGUUGCGUCGGGAGUGAAAACUUACAGCUUAACUGUGAGCGUGCUUUCGAUACGGGCAGACUUGAGGCAUUCAGGGGAGAACGGAAUUCCUGGUGUAGCGGUGAAAUGCGCAGAUAUCAGGAGGAACACCGAUGGCGAAGGCAGGUCUCUGGGCUGAAACUGACGCUCAUGCACGAAAGCGUGGGGAGCGAACAGG
rnacentral:rRNA from 1 species